CGUGUGAGCCUUGCUCUCCUGGGGAGGCUCAGGCUGACGGCUGAUGUGGGCAUUGCCGAGGGUAACCUGUGGCCCAGUGUAUAUGGCCGGGUCUCCUCAAGCUGCAUUCAUUCAAGUAGGACCCAGGGUGCAUGCCCAUCUCCAGCCCAGGGCAGCUCCCCUGUAAGCUGGGUGAGCUACUGAAGCCAAGGUGGGAGGCAGCUGACAACACCACCCACGGCCCAUGCAGAGGUGGUAGAAAGGCUGGACUCAGCAGGAACACCAAAUCCCGGACCAGGCAGAAACCACCCAAGACUGAGGGGCUCGUGCCAGAGCGGUGGCCACAGAGACUUCAGAACCCACUCCUGAGAACAGCGGAGCCAGGCGCUUAGAGGAAGACCAAAUGCUGCCAGGACACGGAUUGUCCAGGGAUUACAUUCCAGCAUCUUAUUAGAGGACGGAAGCAGAGGGUGCUGUUUCAACGCCACCACCAGGAGAGAGGCAGAGGGGCUGUGCCGUGCUAGAGUCCUCAGGGAGGGAGUGACCUCGACCCUGGCUGUGCUGCAAGCUGACUCCAGCCUUGGGCUCAGCAGCACCCGGUGAACAGCAGCAGGAGGAGCCGCUAGAGCAGCUGCUCAUGGGCAGAGCAGCCCUUGGGCAACUCCUGCCACCACCCCCUCCCCAGGGAGCCCAAGGCAGGGGAGGCUCAGCAUGGAAUGAAACAGGGGAGUGAGGGACACAAGGAGGUGGGAAGUGGGAGGGUCCCAGCCCCACCAAGUACGCAGAGACCC
ensembl:lncRNA POM121L9P POM121 transmembrane nucleoporin like 9, pseudogene